GCUCCGGUGGCCUAGUGAUUAGAGCGUCCACCUCGGAUGCAGGAGGUCGCGGGUUCGAACCCCGGCAGAGUUGUACCA